rnacentral:rRNA from 1 species
CCUACGGGUGGCAGCAGUGAGGAAUAUUGGUCAAUGGGCGUAAGCCUGAACCAGCAAAGUCGCGUGAGUGAUGAAGGUUCUAUGGUCCGUAAACCUCUUUUAUAAGGGAAUAAAGUGUGGGAAGUGACUUAUUUUGUAUGGACGUUAUGAAUAAGGAUAGGCUAACUCCGUGACAGCAGCGGCGGUAAUACGGAGGAUCCGAGCGUUAUCCGGAUUUAUUGGGUUUAAAGGGUGAGUAGGCGGUACUUUAAGUUAGCGGUGAAAGUCUGUGGCUCAACCGGAGAAUUGCCGUAGAAACUGGGGGGCUUGAGUAUGUAUGAGGCGAGCGGAAUGCGUGGUGUAGCGGUGGAAUGCUUAGAUAUCACGAAGAACCCCGAUGGCGAAGGCAGCCUGCCAAGCCAUGACUGACGCUGAUGCACGAAAGCGUGGGGAUCGAACAGGAUUAGAUACCCCUGUAGUC